GGUCUUAUGGUCUAGAGGUAUGAUUCUCGCUUAGGGAGCACCUGAGCAAACUUGCGAGAGGCCCCGCGUUCGAAUCGCGGUAAGACCC